UACGUAGGGCGCAAGCGCUAUCCGGAAUUAUUGGGCGUAAAGAGCUCGUAGGCGGUUUGUCGCGUCUGCCGUGAAAGUCCGGGGCUCAACUCCGGAUCUGCGGUGGGUACGGGCAGACUAGAGUGAUGUAGGGGAGACUGGAAUUCCUGGUGUAGCGGUGAAGUGCGCAGAUAUCAGGAGGAACACCGAUGGCGAAGGCAGGUCUCUGGGCAUUAACUGACGCUGAGGAGCGAAAGCAUGGGGAGCGAACAGG
rnacentral:rRNA from 1 species